UACGGAGGGUGCAAGCGUUAUCCGGAUUCACUGGGCUUAAAGGGUGCGUAGGAGGGCAGGUAAGUCAGUGGUGAAAUCUCCAAGCUUAACUUGGAAACUGCCGUUGAUACUAUCUGUCUUGAAUAUUGUGGAGGUGAGCGGAAUAUGUCAUGUAGCGGUGAAAUGCUUAGAUAUGACAUAGAACACCAAUUGCGAAGGCAGCUCACUACUCAAUCAUUGACUCUGAGGCACGAAAGCGUGGGGAGCGAACAGG
rnacentral:rRNA from 1 species